rnacentral:rRNA from 1 species
GAGUUUGAUCUUGGCUCAGAUUGAACGCUGGCGGCAGGCCUAACACAUGCAAGUCGAGCGGAUGACGGGAGCUUGCUCCUUGAUUCAGCGGCGGACGGGUGAGUAAUGCCUAGGAAUCUGCCUGGUAGUGGGGGACAACGUUUCGAAAGGAACGCUAAUACCGCAUACGUCCUACGGGAGAAAGCAGGGGACCUUCGGGCCUUGCGCUAUCAGAUGAGCCUAGGUCGGAUUAGCUAGUUGGUGGGGUAAUGGCUCACCAAGGCGACGAUCCGUAACUGGUCUGAGAGGAUGAUCAGUCACACUGGAACUGAGACACGGUCCAGACUCCUACGGGAGGCAGCAGUGGGGAAUAUUGGACAAUGGGCGAAAGCCUGAUCCAGCCAUGCCGCGUGUGUGAAGGAGGUCUUCGGAUUGUAAAGCACUUUAAGUUGGGAGGAAGGGCAGUAAGUUAAUACCUUGCUGUUUUGACGUUACCGACAGAAUAAGCACCGGCUAACUCUGUGCCAGCCGCCG